GGGGAUAUAGUUUAAUGGUAGAACAUAUGCUUUGCAUGUAUAAUGUUGUUGGUUCAAAUCCAACUAUCUCCA
rnacentral:tRNA from 1 species